GGAAGCGUGGUAGAGCGGUAAUACGCCGGAUUGCUAAUCCGUGGGUUCCAAUUUGGGCCCGGCAGGUUCGACUCCUGUCGCUUCCG
rnacentral:tRNA from 1 species